AAAUUGAAGAGUUUGAUCAUGGCUCAGAUUGAACGCUGGCGGCAGGCCUAACACAUGCAAGUCGAACGGUAACAGGAAGCAGCUUGCUGCUUCGCUGACGAGUGGCGGACGGGUGAGUAAUGUCUGGGAAACUGCCUGAUGGAGGGGGAUAACUACUGGAAACGGUAGCUAAUACCGCAUAAUGUCGCAAGACCAAAGAGGGGGACCUUCGGGCCUCUUGCCAUCGGAUGUGCCCAGAUGGGAUUAGCUUGUUGGUGGGGUAACGGCUCACCAAGGCGACGAUCCCUAGCUGGUCUGAGAGGAUGACCAGCCACACUGGAACUGAGACACGGUCCAGACUCCUACGGGAGGCAGCAGUGGGGAAUAUUGCACAAUGGGCGCAAGCCUGAUGCAGCCAUGCCGCGUGUAUGAAGAAGGCCUUCGGGUUGUAAAGUACUUUCAGCGGGGAGGAAGGGAGUAAAGUUAAUACCUUUGCUCAUUGACGUUACCCGCAGAAGAAGCACCGGCUAACUCCGUGCCAGCAGCCGCGGUAAUACGGAGGGUGCAAGCGUUAAUCGGAAUUACUGGGCGUAAAGCGCACGCAGGCGGUUUGUUAAGUCAGAUGUGAAAUCCCCGGGCUCAACCUGGGAACUGCAUCUGAUACUGGCAAGCUUGAGUCUCGUAGAGGGGGGUAGAAUUCCAGGUGUAGCGGUGAAAUGCGUAGAGAUCUGGAGGAAUACCGGUGGCGAAGGCGGCCCCCUGGACGAAGACUGACGCUCAGGUGCGAAAGCGUGGGGAGCAAACAGGAUUAGAUACCCUGGUAGUCCACGCCGUAAACGAUGUCGACUUGGAGGUUGUGCCCUUGAGGCGUGGCUUCCGGAGCUAACGCGUUAAGUCGACCGCCUGGGGAGUACGGCCGCAAGGUUAAAACUCAAAUGAAUUGACGGGGGCCCGCACAAGCGGUGGAGCAUGUGGUUUAAUUCGAUGCAACGCGAAGAACCUUACCUGGUCUUGACAUCCACGGAAGUUUUCAGAGAUGAGAAUGUGCCUUCGGGAACCGUGAGACAGGUGCUGCAUGGCUGUCGUCAGCUCGUGUUGUGAAAUGUUGGGUUAAGUCCCGCAACGAGCGCAACCCUUAUCCUUUGUUGCCAGCGGUCCGGCCGGGAACUCAAAGGAGACUGCCAGUGAUAAACUGGAGGAAGGUGGGGAUGACGUCAAGUCAUCAUGGCCCUUACGACCAGGGCUACACACGUGCUACAAUGGCGCAUACAAAGAGAAGCGACCUCGCGAGAGCAAGCGGACCUCAUAAAGUGCGUCGUAGUCCGGAUUGGAGUCUGCAACUCGACUCCAUGAAGUCGGAAUCGCUAGUAAUCGUGGAUCAGAAUGCCACGGUGAAUACGUUCCCGGGCCUUGUACACACCGCCCGUCACACCAUGGGAGUGGGUUGCAAAAGAAGUAGGUAGCUUAACCUUCGGGAGGGCGCUUACCACUUUGUGAUUCAUGACUGGGGUGAAGUCGUAACAAGGUAACCGUAGGGGAACCUGCGGUUGGAUCAC
rnacentral:rRNA from 2 species